rnacentral:rRNA from 1 species
GAUGAACGCUGGCGGCGUGCCUAAUACAUGCAAGUCGAGCGAACAGACGAGGAGCUUGCUCCUCUGACGUUAGCGGCGGACGGGUGAGUAACACGUGGAUAACCUACCUAUAAGACGGGGAUAACUUCGGGAAACGGGAGCAAAUACCGGAAAAUAUAUUGAACCGCAGGGUUCAUUAUUGAAAGACGGUUUUGCUGUCACUUAUAGAUGAAUCCGCGCCGCAUUAGCUAGUUGGUAAGGUAACGGCUUACCAAGGCAACGAUGCGUAGCCGACCUGAGAGGGUGAUCGGCCACACUGGAACUGAGACACGGUCCAGACUCCUACGGGAGGCAGCAGUAGGGAAUCUUCCGCAAUGGGCGAAAGCUUGACGGAGCAACGCCGCGUGAGUGAUGAAGGUCUUCGGAUCGUAAAACUCUGUUAUUAGGGAAGAACAAAUGUGUAAGUAACUAUGCACGUCUUGACGGUACCUAAUCAGAAAGCCACGGCUAACUACGUG